rnacentral:rRNA from 1 species
UUUGACAGAGACUUCGGUUGAAGUCGUUAUAAUCCUAGUGGCGGACGGGUGAGUAACGCGUGGGUAACCUGCCUCACACUGGGGGAUAACAGUCAGAAAUGACUGCUAAUACCGCAUAAGCGCACGGGAUUGCAUGAUCCAGUGUGAAAAACUCCGGUGGUGUGAGAUGGACCCGCGUUGGAUUAGCCAGUUGGCAGGGUAACGGCCUACCAAAGCGACGAUCCAUAGCCGGCCUGAGAGGGUGGACGGCCACAUUGGGACUGAGACACGGCCCAGACUCCUACGGGAGGCAGCAGUGGGGAAUAUUGCACAAUGGGGGAAACCCUGAUGCAGCGACGCCGCGUGAAGGAAGAAGUAUCUCGGUAUGUAAACUUCUAUCAGCAGGGAAGAAAAUGACGGUACCUGACUAAGAAGCCCCGGCUAACUACGUGCCAGCAGCCGCGGUAAUACGUAGGGGGCAAGCGUUAUCCGGAUUUACUGGGUGUAAAGGGAGCGUAGACGGAGCAGCAAGUCUGAUGUGAAAGGCGGGGGCUCAACCCCCGGACUGCAUUGGAAACUGUUGAUCUUGAGUACCGGAGAGGUAAGCGGAAUUCCUAGUGUAGCGGUGAAAUGCGUAGAUAUUAGGAGGAACACCAGUGGCGAAGGC